GACGUAGGAUGCAAGCGUUGUCCGGAAUUAUUGGGCGUAAAGAGUUCGUAGGCGGUAUGUCAAGUCUGGUGUUAAAGACUGGGGCUCAACCCCAGAAGGGCACUGGAUACUGUCAAACUAGAGUACAGAAGAGGCAAGGGGAAUUCCCAGUGUAGCGGUGAAAUGCGUAGAUAUUGGGAGGAACACCAGUGGCGUAAGCGCCUUGCUGGUCUGUUACUGACGCUGAGGAACGAAAGCCAGGGGAGCAAAUGGG
rnacentral:rRNA from 1 species